CUACGGGGCGCAGCAGUGAGGAAUAUUGCACAAUGGGGGGAACCCUGAUGCAGCAACGCCGCGUGGAGGAUGACGCAUUUCGGUGUGUAAACUCCUUUUAUAUGUCAAGAAAAUGACGGUAGCAUAUGAAUAAGCACCGGCUAACUCCGUGCCAGCAGCCGCGGCAAUACGGAGGGUGCAAGCGUUACUCGGAAUCACUGGGCGUAAAGGACGCGUAGGCGGGUUGGAAAGUCAGGUGUGAAAUCCUACAGCUUAACUGUAGAACUGCACUUGAAACUUCUAAUCUAGAGUAUGGGAGGGGGAGAUGGAAUUAGUGGUGUAGGGGUAAUAUCCGUAGAUAUCACUAGGAAUACCUAAAGCGAAGGCGAUCUCCUGGAACAUUACUGACGCUAAGGCGUGAAAGCGUGGGGAGCAAACAGGAUUUGAUACCCCAGUAGUC
rnacentral:rRNA from 1 species